rnacentral:rRNA from 1 species
UGGGAAUUUGGACAAUGGGCGAAGCCUGAUCCAGCAAUGCCGCGUGUGUGAAGAAGGCCUUCGGGUUGUAAAGCACUUUUGUCCGGAAAGAAAUCCUUGGCUCUAAUACAGUCGGGGGAUGACGGUACCGGAAGAAUAAGCACCGGCUAACUACGUGCCAGCAGCCGCGGUAAUACGUAGGGUGCAAGCGUUAAUCGGAAUUACUGGGCGUAAAGCGUGCGCAGGCGGUUUGCUAAGACCGAUGUGAAAUCCCCGGGCUCAACCUGGGAACUGCAUUGGUGACUGGCAGGCUAGAGUAUGGCAGAGGGGGGUAGAAUUCCACGUGUAGCAGUGAAAUGCGUAGAGAUGUGGAGGAAUACCGAUGGCGAAGGCAGCCCCCUGGGCAAUACUGACGCUCAUGCACGAAAGCGUGGGGAGCAAAACAGGAUUAGAUACCCUGGUAGUCCACGCCCUAAACGAUGUCAACUAGUUGUUGGGGAUUCAUUCUUAGUAACGUAGCUAACGCGUGAAGUUGACCGCCUGGGGAGUACGGUCGCAAGAUUAAAACUUAAAUGAAUUGACGGGGUCAUAGCUGUUUCCU